CUUCCGCCUCUCUCUCCGCCGCCCCUGGGACUUGUAGUUCCGGCCGCGCCGCCGCCCCUCCCGCCACCGAGCGGCUCCUGGCAGGAACAACACAAUGGAGCUGGAGAGUGGUGGGAGUGCCCUGGGGUUGCCCUUCUGCAAAUGGCCCUGGGUGUGUCCACCUGAGAUGUCUUAGAAGGUAUUGUGUGUUGGCCAGGAGAGCAAGAAACAACAAAGAGAUCCUUUGGCGGCAACUGAAGAACAGUAGCACUGUUCAGCAGGAUGCCAGCUUCUUGGACCUAACCAGCCUUCAUGGAUGGUCAGGCAGUGUCACUCAAAUUAGGGCCUCCUGGUUUCCACUGCCACCUUGCCUUCAGAAGGCAUCAGCAACUCAGGAUACACUUCAAGAACUCAGAAGCUUCAUCUCUUCCCGGUUCCAGCUGCUGAGCCCCAUACCCAGAGCUGGGCAGGGGGAGCCCAGGCCUCUUGAAUAGCAAUGCCUUCAAGUCAGCCCUCCUUCUCCCAGCCAAGCUCUGCUUUGGAGCCCGCGCGGUGACCAGGCCCCCAGUCCUGCUGGCAUUUCCUCUUGUACCCAGUGGGGUGGAGGGCUUGGGUGGGGGCCAGGAGAAAAGGGAACAGCUACUGGAUUGAAAGGCAGGCGCCAAUGACUCUUUGGUUUCCAGGCUGGAGGCAGUUGUAGAGAGGCAGCAUGUCGUUUUCAUAUAGGGAGGUGGGAGAGGUCAUGGCUGGAUUGCAUUGGAGGCACUUCCUUCCUGCAGCCUGAGGAGAGGACCCCAGACCCUAGCUACCAGUAGAAGCAGCUCAAAAGACAACCUCCUGCCCUGUGUGGUAUGAGGUUCUCCAUUCCAUGGGUCCAGUUCUAUUUCCCCGGCAAUCACAGAUGGUGUCUGCACCCUCUCCCUGCUCCCUCUAAGCCCAGGAAUUCCUUACACCCACCACACCAUCUGGAAUGCCUUCCUGGCUAUGGGGACUGCCUUGGAUGGUAAAUGGCAUCAUGGCAUUGGAAUUGCUUUCUAAUCUGGGGGUGGAUGCGAGUGGAAAGUAAGGUAAGCCAAACCAAGCAAAGAAGCACAAGUAAGAAAUGAACCCUAAAUGAUGCCUAAUUUUGCUCAAGCAAGACCUGGGUGGAUAUGGUCCAGCAUGGUACGGCAUGGGGCUGAGUGGGCCACUUCUGCACAGGUCUUCCCUCUGCCUGUGUCGUCCACAGCUCACACUCCCUGUUGCCUUACAAGGUCCCUGGUCCGUGCCUCCACGCUACCUCCACAGCUCCCAUAGGUGGGGCAGCUUAGCCUGAGGCGCCUAGAGAAGACUCCCCACCAAUGUCUGAACAGUUGCUGGUAUUGAAGGUGGCUUAUCUUCCACCAUUCAACUUACCCACUUCUCACAGCCCUUACACAGGGCUCCGGAAGUGGGGUGGGCAGCUUAUACCUUGAUUUCCCACCCCCUUUUCAUUGUCAGGCCUCCUCCUUCACCCUAGGGGACCCGAGAGAACAGAGAGGAGGGGUGGUCCCUAGAGGAGACCUCCCCAGUGAGGGAGAGGUUGUCUGCUGGCCUCAAAUUUGGGAGGUAGCGGGGACAGGCAGUGGGCCUGUGUUUCUGUGUUGUGCCCUCUCUUUUUAAAAAAAUGUACUUGGGACACUGGGAGAAGUGGGGGGAAGGGUGCAGAGAGGAAAAGGGGGGUUGGAAACAACACAAAACGCAACAACUGCCCAUCUGCUUGCUGCAUUCCUAAUGUCGGACUCAUUCUAGUCUGCUCCCAAUAGCAAAGGAGAGAGGAGGAGCAUUGCUGGCAGCCUCAAAGACUCCAGAUAGACUAUUCAGUCCUGGGCCUUCGGCGUGAGGAGGGGGUGGAGGAGGGUUUUGGUUGCAACGGCCCUAAGGAACCUGCACAAAUUUGAUUUGUUACACAGAGCCCGGGGACUUUUAAGAGCCUCCUCCCCCCAUUGACCUACAUUUCCCUGGCAGGGAUAGUCAACCCCAAAGAGGUCCCCUCCUGGUCCACAAUGACUUUGGCAUAUAAACACCAAUGUAGUUGUAAAAGGGUUAACAUUCUGUAAACAACCCUGGUUGAAUGAGCAGGUUAGUCUCAUGGGUUCAGAAACCUCCAAGCCUUACAAGGACAUUUGGGAGCAAGCCCUGCCUUUGCCUCUACCACUAUGGUGUCAAAGCAGCCCUCAGUCUGAGCGUGGCUGUCUCCCAAUCAAACUAUCUUCCAAUGAUGUAGCAACACUUAAAUUUCAAUUUCAGAUGAUUUUCAUGUGUCACGAAAUAUAACCAUCCUUU